UACGAAGGGGGCUAGCGUUGUUCGGAAUUACUGGGCGUAAAGCGCACGUAGGCGGAUAUUUAAGUCAGGGGUGAAAUCCCAGAGCUCAACUCUGGAACUGCCUUUGAUACUGGGUAUCUCGAGUAUGGAAGAGGUGAGUGGAAUUCCGAGUGUAGAGGUGAAAUUCGUAGAUAUUCGCAAGAACACCAGUGGCGAAGGCGGCUCACUGGCCCGGUACUGACGCUGAGAUGCGAAAGCGUGGGGAGCAAACAGG
rnacentral:rRNA from 1 species